rnacentral:rRNA from 2 species
CGUCUGAUGGAGCACGCCGCGUGAGUGAAGAAGGGUUUCGGCUCGUAAAACUCUGUUGUUAAAGAAGAACAUAUCUGAGAGUAACUGUUCAGGUAUUGACGGUAUUUAACCAGAAAGCCACGGCUAACUACGUGCCAGCAGCCGCGGUAAUACGUAGGUGGCAAGCGUUGUCCGGAUUUAUUGGGCGUAAAGCGAGCGCAGGCGGUUUUUUAAGUCUGAUGUGAAAGCCUUCGGCUCAACCGAAGAAGUGCAUCGGAAACUGGGAAACUUGAGUGCAGAAGAGGACAGUGGAACUCCAUGUGUAGCGGUGAAAUGCGUAGAUAUAUGGAAGAACACCAGUGGCGAAGGCGGCUGUCUGGUCUGUAACUGACGCUGAGGCUCGAAAGUAUGGGUAGCAAACAGGAUUAGAUACCCUGGUAGUCCAUACCGUAAACGAUGAAUGCUAAGUGUUGGAGGGUUUCCGCCCUUCAGUGCUGCAGCUAACGCAUUAAGCAUUCCGCCUGGGGAGUACGGCCGCAAGGCUGAAACUCAAAGGAAUUGACGGGGGCCCGCACAAGCGGUGGAGCAUGUGGUUUAAUUCGAAGCUACGCGAAGAACCUUACCAGGUCUUGACAUACUAUGCAAAUCUAAGAGAUUAGACGUUCCCUUCGGGGACAUGGAUACAGGUGGUGCAUGGUUGUCGUCAGCUCGUGUCGUGAGAUGUUGGGUUAAGUCCCGCAACGAGCGCAACCCUUAUUAUCAGUUGCCAGCAUUAAGUUGGGCACUCUGGUGAGACUGCCGGUGACAAACCGGAGGAAGGUGGGGAUGACGUCAAAUCAUCAUGCCCCUUAUGACCUGGGCUACACACGUGCUACAAUGGAUGGUACAACGAGUUGCGAACUCGCGAGAGUAAGCUAAUCUCUUAAAGCCAUUCUCAGUUCGGAUUGUAUG